rnacentral:rRNA from 1 species
UACGGGGGGUGCGAGCGUUGUCCGGAAUCACUGGGCGUAAAGGGCGCGUAGGUGGUUUGAUAAGGGUGUGGUGAAAGCCCGGGGCUCAACCCCCGGGUCUGCCGUGCCGACUGUCAAACUCGAGGGCUGUAGAGGCAGACGGAAUUCCGGGUGUAGCGGUGGAAUGCGUAGAGAUCCGGAGGAAGACCGGUGGCGAAGGCGGUCUGCUGG